GGCUUUCUCCUGCAGCAAUAAGGGCAGUCGACAGUCUUUACUAGGGAAAGGAGACAAGCGCUAGCUACUGCCGCCCAAGAGGAAGGUGGGUGAAAUUGCUCACUCUUCACCCCACUGACGCUUUUGCGCACCUGGAAAAGCGGUUCCAGUUUGCGCCCGUCGCCGCCUUACAGCCGACAGGAGACCAGCGCUACCCAAGUCACGAAUUAUCUAUAGAGUAAGUAUGCUAAUCUUGACUAAGACUGCAGGAGUUUUUUUUAAACCAUCAAAAAGGAAAGUUUAUGAAUUUUUAAGAAGUUUUAAUUUUCAUCCUGGAACACUAUUUCUUCAUAAAAUAGUAUUGGGAAUUGAAACCAGUUGUGAUGAUACAGCAGCUGCUGUGGUGGAUGAAACUGGAAAUGUGUUGGGAGAAGCAAUACAUUCCCAAACUGAAGUUCAUUUAAAAACAGGUGGGAUUGUUCCUCCAGCAGCUCAACAGCUUCACAGAGAAAAUAUUCAACGAAUAGUACAAGAAGCUCUUUCUGCCAGUAGAAUCUCUCCAAGUGACCUCUCAGCAAUUGCAACUACCAUAAAACCAGGACUUGCUUUAAGCCUGGGAGUGGGCUUAUCAUUUAGCUUACAGCUGGUAGGACAGUUAAAAAAGCCAUUCAUUCCCAUUCAUCAUAUGGAGGCUCAUGCACUUACUAUUAGGUUGACCAAUAAAGUAGAAUUUCCUUUUUUAGUUCUUUUGAUUUCUGGAGGUCACUGUCUGUUGGCAUUAGUUCAAGGAGUUUCAGAUUUUCUGCUUCUUGGAAAGUCUUUGGACAUAGCACCAGGUGACAUGCUUGACAAGGUGGCAAGAAGACUUUCUUUAAUAAAACAUCCAGAGUGCUCCACCAUGAGUGGUGGGAAAGCCAUAGAACAUUUGGCCAAACAAGGAAAUAGAUUUCAUUUUGACAUCAAACCUCCCUUACAUCAUGCUAAAAAUUGUGAUUUUUCUUUUACUGGACUUCAACACGUUACUGAUAAAAUAAUAAUGAAAAAGGAAAAAGAGGAAGGUAUUGAGAAGGGGCAAAUCCUGUCUUCAGCUGCAGACAUUGCUGCCACAGUACAGCACACAAUGGCAUGUCAUCUUGUGAAAAGAACACAUCGGGCUAUUCUGUUUUGUAAGCAGAGAGACUUGUUACCUCAAAAUAAUGCAGUACUGGUUGCAUCUGGUGGUGUCGCAAGUAACUUCUAUAUCCGCAGAGCUCUGGAAAUUUUAACAAACGCAACACAGUGCACUUUGUUGUGUCCUCCUCCCAGACUAUGCACUGAUAAUGGCAUUAUGAUUGCAUGGAAUGGUAUUGAAAGACUACGUGCUGGCUUGGGCGUUUUACAUGGCAUAGAAGGCAUCCGCUAUGAACCAAAGUAUGUGGUAUCAUUCAUGAUCUUUAUGCAAGUUACAUUACUUGAGACAAAGCCUGGAUUUUGCCUUUAUAUAUGAGGUUUUCAUUGACAUUCUGGUGGUACUUGAAGGAAAGUUACAUAAAUUUCUUUCAUGAACCUAGUUAAGGUUGAUACCAUAUGAGAAAUAUUUUUGCUACAGUAUCAAAUUAUAAAAAUCUUGGCAAGUUUAGGUGAGUUAGAAACAGGUCAUGAGUAAGGGUGAUGAAUUCCCUCCUUUGGAACUAGAAUGUAAACUAUGUCCAUGGCCUGGACUUUUGCAAUCUCAAGAACAUCUCAGAACCAGCAAGUAUGCUGGGAAAUUUAAGGAAAACAUGCAGAAAGCAUUCAGGUGUGAGAGUGGGUUGUGAUUACGCUUUUACACAGGCAGUUGAGAAUUGGCCAAAAGAUAUCUGUUUCCUGCAAGCCUUAUUUCCUCUCCCAAAUCAAAGUUCCAGUGAAUAGCACAGUUUUUUCUUUUACUUUUUUCUUUUUUUUUUUUAGAGUCUUACUGUGUCACCCAGGCUAGAAUGCAGUGGCGCAUUCUCGGCUCACUGCAACCUCUGCUUCCCAUAUUCAAGUGAUUGUCAUGCCUCAGCCUCCUGAGUAGCUGGAAUUACAGGAGUUCGAGACCAGCCUGGCCAACAUGGUGAAACCCCGUCUCUACUGAAAAUACAAAAAUUAGCCAGGCGUAGUGGCAGGCGCCUGUAAUCGCAGCUACUCGGGAGGCUGAGGCAGGAGAAUUGCCUGAAUCCUCAAGGCGGAGGUUGCAGUAAGCCAAGAUCACGCCAUUGCACUCCAGCCCGGGUGACAGAGUGAGACUCCAUCUCAAAAAAAAAAAAAAAAAUACACACAACUUGUCAGCAUUAUAUUCCGUAACUUGACAGUUGUGCUAUAUAUGAAUUACAUGUAUGCUGAUGAUGAAUGAACUGAAUUGAGUUAGUAGUACCAGAAGGCAUCCCUUUGAUACCUUGUCUCAGAUAGAGUAUAUCCUCUGAUUCAGUUAUGCCCCCUUGUGGCAGUGUUGAGGCUGGAGAUAAUGCCUUUUUCCAGGUUGGGAUUCAGUCAAAGCAAAGCCUUAUCUUGGACAACAUGGUAGAAAAGCAGAAAUCUGAAGCAAAAAUUAGUUACUGAGGAGGAACAGAAAAAGACAGCAGGAACUAAGACCUCUUUGGCUAGUAAUGGCAAAGGAUGGUAGAAAAGGGGCAAGGCAGCUUUUGAAACUUCAGAGAAGAACCUAUAGAAACCUAGGACAUUUCUAAAAUGUGAAUGGAUACAGGUUUGACUUUAGCUGUGUGGCAAAAAUGUUUUUACCUUUUUAGCUUUGUAGAGAAUUAUAAGAUAUUUUUCAUUAUUUUUAUAUUUCAUUUUAUGUUUUUAACUUAUUUACAGUAUUUGAGAACAGCAAAACUGUUUCUUUUAAAAACGUCUCAAAAUUUAGAUUUCUUAUUGAGACUAGCUUUCAUUAUCCUGACUUGAGGUCCCAGUAUAUUUGUAAGUAUUUAAGAAUCAUCACCACAUAUGAUGAAUUAAAUAUUUGAUAUUUAUACCAUCAGAAUUCUAAGCAAAUAGUCCGCAGAACUAGUGAUGGAUCAUGAAGCAAAUAAAUAAUGCGAUUUGUCUGCUU